CCACUUAUCUGGACGGAGUCAAUGGGAGACCACCCAUGGCCUAGGUUGGCGACAUCCAUUGCACUCCGGAGGGGCGCUCGCCUAAGGUCGGGCUAAGUGGUCGAGCCUACGUCAUAAUUUGUGUUAGAGGGGGCCUGUGUUCGUGUGCCCCUCCC